AAUCGAGUUAAUUUCGUUCAUUGUUCAAUUGGAAACAAUUUAAUUUAAUUAACUCUAAUUGAAUUUUAUUUUUGUUUCUUCCUGUUUUCUUAAUUGAUUUGGUUAUUUCAAUCAAUUGGUCAAUUUUACUGGUGACAGAAAUUUAAAUUGUUUUCUUAGUUUCUUUAUGUUUCUAAUUGCAAAAAAGAAACUAAAACAUAUAAUUUGAGAGAUUCAAUGAACUGAUAUUGUUUUGAUUGCUGCGGGUAAAUCAAUUAUUAUUUAUCAAUAAUUAACGUCUAUUAGUGAUGGUAAUCGGUUUCUUUUUUGAUUGUUGAGGAUGGCCUGAGACUGAAUUGAUACAAUUGGAUUGAAGUAAAUGGUGUUUAUAAUCAAUUGAUUUGAAAAGAUUAAUCUUUUACCCUUUGUUAUUAGUCAGCUGAUGAUCUUGUUACUUUUUGGUGGUUUUGGUUUUAUCAUCUUUACCAAUCAAAGUGUUUAAACAAUAAUUUAAAUUGUUUGUGAUGAUGAGGGUGAUAAUCAGCAAAUUAUAUGCUAAUUGCGCUCAAAUUUAUUGACCUCUUGUGUUUGUUUUGUGUGACAGAUAAACAAACAGACAGACACACACACAGAAUAACAUAUCAAACCAAAUGAUAAAAUAAUGAAUGGGAAGAAGACGAAGGAAUUUCACUAAAAUGAACCCGUAAUGAUGGAAAACGGAAUGGAAAUGAAACAAAAUUCUGUUGACGAAGAUGGAUGAGAGAUAGAAAUUAACUGACAAAAAUUCAUCAGAUUAUGAUAAACAAAUUGUUUGGAUUUCCUGUCAUUUAUACAAAGAAAAACUUCAAUAAUAAUGAAGUGGAUUAACUUUCCCAAAAUGAUAAUCAACCCAAGUGAAAGUACAAACAACAACAAUCAACAAGAGAAUGAGUUAUAUUACAUAUAAUCAAUCCAAUCACCAUGAUGAUCAUGACGGUUACAACUAAUACAAGAUAAUUGUGAAUUUGAAAGGUUUAAUUGUAAUGACAAUUACAAAUUAGAAAAUGAUCAUCUUAAGAUUAUAAUUUAAUGACAACAA